CUUGUCGGGGUCCGGUUCAAAACAUUUCAAUAUGAACGCCUUGGCCUCUGCGGACAUGGACUCUGGGAUCUCCGGGUGGACUUUAAACAUUCCCACCUAAGACACAGCACAAGCCUACUGGAACAGAUACGUCAGUAACAUGGGGAGAAAGAUGGACCAGAGCAAGAUCAAAGCAAAGAGCAAAGGGUAACUAGAAGAUGCCCUGUGCCAGCUGUUUAAGAGAAGCACUUGUCAUGCAAGUAUUUUCAAACAAUCUACUUUAUGCCAAAUGCUCUGCUAUAGAACAAGAUCUUUGUUGGUGUGCUUUGUGUACGUACAUUGGUGGGUGAAUAAACCUAAGUUAGAAAGGUGA